UUCCCACUCUAUGUUGUUGCCUCUCU
rnacentral:piRNA from 1 species